UACAAGUAGGGAUCAAUCAGCCUAUAAGAAACAUCAAGCCAUAUUGUUAGUACAAUUAUAGUGAACUCCUACCAACUCCAUGCUUCCAUCCCAUCCAAGUUUUGCCUACCUAUAUUCAUCUCCUCACAAUACAGCAAACACAUACACAAUAACACAUCUUGACAACUUCCUCAAUGCUCAAUCGAUGCUGCCAUCUAAAAGAUACACCAACUCAAAGCCCUUCCUCAAACUAGUAGAACACUCAGGCAUAACAUCAAGAAAAAGCUCAGCCUUUCCUAUCAAGGUUUUUCUUCAAUUCAUAGCAGUAAACACACACAUAUACAGCUUUAUGUUUGUUCAUAUGUCCAUCUAUAACUGAGUUUACAUAACAAUAAAGACAACGAGAUGUAAAUGUUUCAUACAAUGAGAAUACAGAUAAUGAGAUAUAAGAACUGAUAGUUUUGUUGCCUAUGUUUUGUUUAUUUGUGUACCAAUCACUGCUCCAUAAGAACAUAAGAUAUGUGCAUGAAAUGAAAAUGCUGAUAACUAAAACAAGAAUAGAACUCGUGGGGUAUCUCUGCUUGGAGAGUGUCUGUCGAGGAAGGGAUGUGAGAGUCGGGAGUCAGGGCGGAAACGGCGGUGGCUAUUAGCUACUGUCGGACCGAACAAAGGGAAGAGGGAGGCAGUAGCUAGGGCACGGCGGUGGUGGCGUGAAGCUGCUGACCGUCGUCGCCGGAUUUUAGAAAGGGAAGGUCGGAAUUGGGAACCUUUGGUUCCAGGUGGCUUGUAGCGUUUGUCAUCGGCGGCAGCCAUGGCUACUGCUAUGGUCGCCGAGAAUUGGAGCGAGAGGAGACCGGAUUUGGGAGCCUAGGGUUCGGCGGCGGCGGCUCUGCCGUCGUUCUGUCCGGAGCAGGGGAGAGGAGAAACGAGGGGAGAUGAGGGAGAGACUCGAUGGCCUUGUCGAUGUCGGAGUUUACAGGGGGAGCGUAGGAGAGGCGGCGCUUCGCCGGGGAAGACGAGAGAUCGAGGGAGGCGGCGGCGCCUCGCCGUCGCCAAGGAGGAAGGCGGAGGCGGAAUCGCCGCUGCUUCGCUGUUUCUUUCGUGGGUAUUGGUGAGCCGAAUGGUGUGGUGCGACGAGGGAGAUGAAGGCGGGGUGAUCGGCGGCGGUCACCGCCGGAGGAGAUUCGAG
rnacentral:lncRNA from 1 species